UACGUAGGGCGCAAGCGUUGUCCGGAAUUAUUGGGCGUAACGAGCUCGUAGGCGGCUUGUCACGUCUGGUGUGAAAGCCCGGGGCUUAACCCCGGGUCUGCAUUCGAUACGGGCUAGCUAGAGUGUGGUAGGGGAGAUCGGAAUUCCUGGUGUAGCGGUGAAAUGCGCAGAUAUCAGGAGGAACACCGGUGGCGAAGGCGGAUCUCUGGGACAUUACUGACGCUGAGGAGCGAAAGCGUGGGGAGCGAACAGG
rnacentral:rRNA from 1 species